AUUGGAUGAGCCCGCGGCCUAUUAGCUAGUUGGUGGGGUAAUGGCCUACCAAGGCGACGAUGGGUAGCCGGCCCGAGAGGGUGUACGGCCACACUGGCACUGAGAUACGGGCCAGACUCCUACGGGAGGCAGCAGUAGGGAAUCUUCCGCAAUGGACGAAAGUCUGACGGAGCAAUGCCGCGUGAGUGACGAAGGUUUUCGGAUCGUAAAACUCUGUUGUAAGGGAAGAACAAGUACCAAGUAACUACUGGUACCUUGACGGUACCUUACCAGAAAGCCACGGCUAACUACGUGCCAGCAGCCGCGGCCGAU
rnacentral:rRNA from 1 species